rnacentral:rRNA from 1 species
GUCUACAGCCAUGCUACCCUGAACACGCCUGAUGCCGUCUGAUCGCGGAAGCUAAGCAGGGUCGGGCCUGGUUAGUACUUGGAUGGGAGACCACCUAGGAAGACCAGGCGCUGUAGGGG